UACGGAAGGCAGCAGUGGGGAAUAUUGCACAAUGGGCGCAAGCCUGAUGCAGCCAUGCCGCGUGUAUGAAGAAGGCCUUCGGGUUGUAAAGUACUUUCAGUCGUGAGGAAGGUGUUAAGGUUAAUAACCUUAGCAAUUGACGUUAGCGACAGAAGAAGCACCGGCUAACUCCGUGCCAGCAGCCGCGGUAAUACGGAGGGUGCGAGCGUUAAUCGGAAUUACUGGGCGUAAAGGGCACGCAGGCGGUUAAUUAAGUUGGAUGUGAAAUCCCCGGGCUUAACCUGGGAAUGGCAUUCAAGACUGGUUAGCUAGAGUCUUGUAGAGGGGGUAGAAUUCCAUGUGUAGCGGUGAAAUGCGUAGAGAUGUGGAGGAAUACCGGUGGCGAAGGCGGCCCCUGGGACAAAGACUGACGCUCAUGUACGAAAGCGUGGGGAGCAAAC
rnacentral:rRNA from 1 species